rnacentral:pre_miRNA from 1 species
GGUGGUGAGAGAGUGAAGCUGCAACAUGAUCUGAUGAUGAUGGACCAAAUAAACUCCAUGCAUGCAUGCUCACUAAUUCAGAAACCAUAUCAGAGUACCGAGAAUCCUCUAACCAACACUCAACCCCAUCUAGCACCAAACUAGCAAUAAUCAUAAUCCUCAAGAGCCAACAUCUUCCUCUCACGCACAUUGCGGCAUGACUAAACCCCGAAAACCACUAAUUAUAUUGUUUCGAUCGGUCCUCAGAUCAUGCUGGCAGCUUCAACCUCUCACACC